GCAUGGUUGGGCCAGGCCCACCCAAUCAGAUUGAGCAAAAUAAAUAAACACAUUUUUGUUUUAUUUAUUUAUAUUAUUUUUAUGCUCUUUUACUUGUCAGUGUUCCAAACGGGAUAUUAUUUGUAUUUUAAUUACACAAAAAAAAGAAUUGCUGAACAAGUCACAUCAUAAAUUGCAAGGACUCACUCUGUCUGCAAUAAUAGUGUUUAAAAGGAUUUUUGAAUGCCUACCUCCUCUCUGUACCGCACAAAUACAAUUAUCUUUAAGGUCCCUCAGUUGAGCAGUGAAUUUCAAACACAGAUUCAUCAAUAUAGACCAGGGAGGUUUUCAAAUGACUCGUAAAGAAGGGCACCUAUUGGUAGAUGGGUCAAAAAAAAAAGGAAGCAGACACUGAUAAUAUCCCUUUGAGCCUGGUGAAGUUAUUAAUUACACUUUGGAACAGUUACAGAGUUUAAUUCGGUGUGAUAGGAUAAAAUAACUGAGGAAAGAUCAACAACAAAACUGCACAUUUUUCCCAUUGUCAAAAUGUGUAGAAUUGCAGGAAAUUAGCUUUAAAAAAGCAACAUUUUCUCUCAGCCACAUUGCAAAACGUGUAGAAUAGCAUGAGAUUAGCUAUAAAACUGCACUUUUUGAAAGUAAUUUUUGGCCCAUCCAAAUUUUCGCAGGACCACCCACCUUCCGAAUUUCUGGCUACGCCACUGUGACUAAUAAUAAGAUAUGCUCUCUGCACCAUGCUCACAUCAGUAUCAUGUGCUUGAUUUUGAAUUCCAUUGAUAAGUAGAGUUCCACAAUACAUUCCAAUGGAAGUGUGACGUUAGUUAGCAAGAACCACCGACACUUAACUGGUUAAAUACAUUUCCUGUAUGCUUUGGUGUUGGUAUGUACAGAUCUCUAAUGCCUUCAUAUAAUACCGUUCUCUUGGCCAACAUGCUGUAAUGUUUCCAAAGUAAUGCUUGCUUGCUUAUAUGUGGUCCUUCUGUAGCUCAGUUGGUAGAGCAUGGCGCUUGUAACGCCAGGGUAGUGGGUUCGAUUCCCGGGACCACCCAUACAUAGAAUGUAUGCACACAUGACUGACUGUAAGUCGCUUUGGAUAAAAGCGUCUGCUAAAUGACAUAUAUUAUUUAUUAUUAUUAUACUUAUAUAAUAUAAUGCACAGAAUGCUGGCAUGCUACAUUUUUACAUGACAUUACAUACUGUUUGUUUCUAUAGGUCUCUGUUGUUUCUGGAAGCUUUAAGUAGCUGUUGAUCAUCAGUGAUCACCUAGCAACAGUAGUGAUGUGGACGUAUUCCAUUUUUUCUGCGUCCCAAAUGACACCCUUUGUACACUGCUUUUGCCCAGGGCUAGGGUUGUAAAGGAAGGUUAUAUUACCGUAAACCUUCAACCUUCAAAGUGUACCAGUAAACUACCGGAAUUGUAGAAUAUUUCAAGGAUUUGAUGUAAUCUAUUACAAGAGGCAUCUAGAUGCCCUUUUGGGGAUACUUCAGAUUAUCACAGGUGUCUGUUAUUUACUCUGGCCCGCUCCCUGUAAAAUAUAUGAAAUCAUUCAAUAAUAGGAUUUAAAAAUAAAACAAUGGAAUGACAAAGCUGUAAAACCCUAUACCACAUAUAAAUCAGCAAUUAAGUGAAUACCAUUGGUUGUUUAAUAUAAGGGUUUCGGGAAUGAAAUAUAUAUAUAUAUAUUUUAUUUUUAUUUUUAUUUAUUUUACUAUGUCAAUAUGUAUUUGUUGCCAUUGUUUUAGCAUCAAUAGUUGGACGAGUUGCAGAGAAAAUGUAAAAUAAUGCCAUUGUUGAUUAGAUGCUUUUGUCAUUAAUUAGGCUAUUUUCCAUUGAAGCAGACUUUUUUUUUACAAAGUCAUUCAAAUAUAACUUACCAAAGUUACGAUAGAUUGCCAUAUAUUUUCUGUUAAUUACCAACAUGACUGAAAUUAACAUAACGUUGGUAAAUUACCCGUAGCUUUGCAUUCCUAUCCACCCAUAUUAGUUCAUAGGAUGCACAACAUUAUCUCUACAUGGCACCAAGAACAUUACAACAUUAUCUCUACAUGGCACCAGUAACAUUACAACAUUAUCUCUACAUGGCACCAGUAACAUUACAACAUUAUCUCUACAUGGCACCAGUAACAUUACAACAUUAUCUCUACAUGGCACCAGUAACAUUACACCAUUAUCUCUACAUGGCACCAGUAACAUUACAACAUUAUCUCGACAUGGCACCAGUAACAUUACACCAUUAUCUCUACAUGGCACCAGUAACAUUACAACAUUAUCUCUACAUGGCACCAGUAACAUUUUUUGAAAUUGUAUUUUUUUUAUUUCACCUUUAUUUAACCAGGUAGGCUAGUUGAGAACAAGUUCUCAUUUGCAACUGUGACCUGGCCAAGAUAAAGCGUAGCAAUUCGACACAUACAACAACACAGAGUUACAUAUGGAAUAAACAAAACAUACAGUCAAUAAUACAGUAGAACAAAAGAAAACAAAACGUCUAUAUACAGUGAGUGCAAAUGAGGUAAGUUACAGUAGUUAAGGACUGUUGAAGAACAUGAUAUUAUCAUUUAUUCAGUCAUUUUUUAAAUUUUAUUCUCCAAUACAUAUCUCAUCAUCACAUCAAUAUACAGGCAGUAGGCUGAUUAAAGUUAAACAAUUUUCCCUUGACAUUUUUUAACACAACUGGGUCUGCAUUCACAGUCUCAGUGUAGCUGUGCUGAUCUAGGAUCAGUUUAGCCUUUCAGAUCAUUAUAAAUAAGAUUACAUGGACAAGGAAGGACCUGAUCCUUGAUCAGCACUCUUACUCUGAGACACUUUGUGGUAAAUACGGGCCCUGAUUAUUUCAGUAUGCAUCCAUUGGAUAGAGAUAAUGGUUAUGAUACAAUCUCAGUAUUACAUAUAAACACCUACUGCCUAAAGCAUCAUUAGACACCGUCUGGGCAUCAGUCAUAUAGCCGUUUGGGGCGGCAGGUAGCCUUGUGGUUAGAGCGUUGGACUAGUUACCAAGAAGGUUGUAAAGAUCAAAUCUCCGAGCCGACAAGGUAUAAUUCUGUCAUUCUGCCCCUGAAAGAACGCAGUUAACCCCCUCCCCUGUUCCUAGGCCAUCAUUGAAAAUAAGAAUGUCUUCUUCACUGACUUGCCUAGUUAAAUAAAGGUAAAGAAAAACAUAUUUAGACUCUACAUACUGUACAAUAAACUUCAAUAUAAUACAUUCUCCUCCUCACACUGUACCAACAGCGAGUGUGGUCAAAGAUGAUGCGUGCAUUACAAAUGGCACCCUAUUCCUGAUAUAGUGCACUAGUUUUGACCGUAGCCCUAUGCACUACCAUAGGCCCAAGGGCCCUGGAUGAAAGUAGUGUACUCUAUAGGUGAACAGGAUGCCAAUUGAGAAACAAACAAUGGCAAAAAAAAAAUAUCCAAAGAAAGAAGGACGUGCAGGAUGCCAUUCCAAGCUAGCCUGAUCCCAGAUCUGUGCUCUUUUCAAAUCCGUAGCUGUCAUUAAGGCAUGACAGUGAGUGACAACAAGUUGGCAUGAUAACACAAAGACAGGCAACCGGCCAAUCAGGCUACGUACAAGAAUUAUGCAAACAAAGCAAAAAACAGUUGAGCUAGAUACAGUAAUUAUAUAGAUACAGUCUGAAUCUGAAUUUCCAUGUUGAAUCCUCAGCCAGUCAGUCAGUCAGUUAGUCCAGACAGAUUAAAACACUGAUUAAGGCUGUGGCCCGAAGAAAUGGCCCCGUUCAGUGGCAUGUAGUCUUGAAUACGAUUAAUGUAUGACUGAGUCCCAAAUGGCACCCCAGGGAGCCAUUUGGGACAUUCACACAGAGAAGUUGUAGAGAGCAGAGAGAGUGGGAUCAAAAAGCCAAGCAACUCUUAUCUCCAGCUGGUUUCAGAAGAGGGAUAAACGCUUCUUAAGAGCAUCUUCUCUAUGCUGUCAUCCCCCAUCCACAGCCAAUCACACACACAGAUACCAGGCCCUGAAAGGAAGGGCUAGAGAGAAUAUUCUUCAAAAGCUCCUUCAGUUGGAAUGAAUCCCCCCAGCCCCUCCCAUGUGCCUCUUUCUCUCUUUCUCUCUCUCUCUUCUCUGUAGCAGAUCAGCAUUAUUGGGCGGAGGGAGGGAGGAAUGUAGUAUUGGAGGGAGCGAUGGCAGAGGAAGGAGGGAGGGAGGGGAGGAAUAAUUCAAAUUGAGGAGUUACAAAACCGUCAUGUCAGACACCUUUUUGUCCUUAUCGUUUGUCCUCCGAGAGGUGUAGAGGGGAGGGAGAGGAGAGCAGAGGUGUAGAGGGGAGGGAGAGGAGAGCAGAGGUGUAGAGGGGAGGGAGAGGAGAGGAAAGGUGUAGAGGGGAGAGAGAGGUGAGCAGAGGUGUAGAGGGGAGGGAGAGGAGAGCAGAGGUGUAGAGGGGAGGGAGAGGAGAGGAAAGGUGUAGAGGGGAGAGAGAGGUGAGCAGAGGUGUAGAGGGGAGGGAGAGGAGAGCAGAGGUGUAGAGGGGAAGGGAGAGGAGAGCAGAGGUGUAGAGGGGAGGGAGAGGAGAGCAGAGGUGUAGAGGGGAGGGAGAGGAGAGCAGAGGAGUAGAGGGGAGGGAGAGGAGAGCAGAGGUGUAGAGGGGAGGGAGAGGAGAGGUGUAGAGGUGAGAGAGAGGUGAGCAGAGGUGUAGAGGGGAGGGAGAGGAGAGCAGAAGUGUAGAGGGGAAGGGAGAGGAGAGCAGAGGUGUGGAGGGGAGGGAGAGGAGAGCAGAGGUGUAGAGGGGAGGCAGAGGAGAGCAGAGGUGUAGAGGGGAGGGAGAGGAGAGCAGAGGUGUAGAGGGGAGGGAGAGGAGAGGUGUAGAUGGGAGGGAGAGGAGAGCAGAGGUGUAGAGGGGAGGGAGAGGAGAGCAGAGGUGUAGAGGGGAGGGAGAGGAGAGGUGUAGAUGGGAGGGAGAGGAGAGCAGAGGUGUAGAGGGGAGGGAGAGGAGAGGUGUAGAUGGGAGGGAGAGGAGAGCAGAGGUGUAGAGGGGAGGGAGAGGAGAGCAGAGGUGUAGAGGGGAGGGAGAGGAGAGGUGUAGAUGGGAGGGAGAGGAGAGCAGAGGUGUGGAGGGGAGGGAGAGGAGAGCAGAGGUGUAGAGGGGAGGCAGAGGAGAGCAGAGGUGUAGAGGGGAGGGAGAGGAGAGGUGUAGAGGGGAGGGAGAGGAGAGCAGAGGUGUAGAGGGGAGGGAGAGGAGAGCAGAGGUGUAGAGGGGAGGCAGAGGAGAGCAGAGGUGUAGAGGGGAGGGAGAGG